rnacentral:lncRNA from 1 species
UCUGUAUUACUUCCUAUUAGUCUCCCCAAGCACUCUGAAUAAGCUUUUUAGAGCAUAAUACUAUUAAAUUACAUUCACAUAUUGAUGUUCAGCCAUUUCCCAACUAUGGGACACAUUUUGUUUCUAGUUCCUUUUUAACAUUAGAAAUAAUGUGGUCAUGUUUUGUUUUGUUUUGUUUUUGCAUAUAGGUGUAUGCUUAUUUGCUGAUGAUCUCCUUAGAAUAUAAUUCCAAUAGUAGAAUUUCUGGAUCAAAGGAGAACAUAAAAAGUCCAAUGCAAAGAUAUUUUUCUUCUCCAUAAAUCAGAGGCACCCUUCCCUACAAUACAUAUGCUAGCUGUGAGGAGAGGCCAUUUAUGGAGCGGUACAUGGGCAAUUUGUGUGACAAGCACUACUUCUGAGUCAGAGGGCAAGCAAGUGGAAGAUAUGAGUGGUCUGGACCUUUCUGGAGAGACAGCUCCUACCUCUGAUGCUGCAAGCAACUUCUGCUUAUGGGAGUCAAAAUGGUAGAGUAAAGAACACUCAGCUUGCCUAACCCACCUCCAGAUAGCCAUAAAAAAUAAAAUGACUCAAAAUGAAUCCUGGAGCA